AUUGAACGCUGGCGGCAGGCCUAACACAUGCAAGUCGAACGGUAACAGGAAGAAGCUUGCUUCUUUGCUGACGAGUGGCGGACGGGUGAGUAAUGUCUGGGAAACUGCCUGAUGGAGGGGGAUAACUACUGGAAACGGUAGCUAAUACCGCAUAACGUCGCAAGCCCAAAGAGGGGGACCUUCGGGCCUCUUGCCAUCGGAUGUGCCCAGAUGGGAUUAGCUAGUAGGUGGGGUAACGGCUCACCUAGGCGACGAUCCCUAGCUGGUCUGAGAGGAUGACAGGCCACACUGGAACUGAGACACGGUCCAGACUCCUACGGGAGGCAGCAGUGGGGAAUAUUGCACAAUGGGCGCAAGCCUGAUGCAGCCAUGCCGCGUGUAUGAAGAAGGCCUUCGGGUUGUAAAGUACUUUCAGCGGGGAGGAAGGGAGUAAAGUUAAUACCUUUGCUCAUUGACGGUACCCGCAGAAGAAGCACCGGCUAACUCCGUG
rnacentral:rRNA from 1 species